rnacentral:rRNA from 1 species
AUUGAACGCUGGCGGCAUGCUUUACACAUGCAAGUCGAACGGCAGCGCGGGCUUCGGCCUGGCGGCGAGUGGCGAACGGGUGAGUAAUGCAUCGGAACGUGCCCAGGAGUGGGGGAUAGCCCGGCGAAAGCCGGAUUAAUACCGCAUACGACCUGAGGGUGAAAGCGGGGGACCGAAAGGCCUCGCGCGAUUGGAUCGGCCGAUGUCGGAUUAGCUAGUUGGUGGGGUAAAGGCUUACCAAGGCGACGAUCCGUAGCUGGUCUGAGAGGACGACCAGCCACACUGGGACUGAGACACGGCCCAGACUCCUACGGGAGGCAGCAGUGGGGAAUUUUGGACAAUGGGGGCAAGCCUGAUCCAGCCAUGCCGCGUGAGGGAAGAAGGCCUUCGGGUUGUAAACCGCUUUUGUUCGGGAAGAAAUCCUCUGGGCUAAUACCCCGAGGGGAUGACGGUACCAGAAGAAUAAGCACCGGCUAACUACGUG